UACGUAGGUGGCAAGCGUUGUCCGGAUUUACUGGGCGUAAAGAGCGCGCAGGCGGUCGUUUAAGUCGAAUGUGAAAGCCCCCGGCUCAACUGGGGAGGGUCAUUCGAUACUGAUCGACUUGAAGGCAGGAGAGAGAAGUGGAAUUCCCGGUGUAGUGGUGAAAUGCGUAGAUAUCGGGAGGAACACCAGUGGCGAAGGCGGCAUCCUGGACCGGUAUUGACGCUGAGGCGCGAAAGCCAGGGGAGCAAACGGG
rnacentral:rRNA from 1 species